UACGUAGGGUCCGAGCGUUGUCCGGAGUUACUGGGCGUAAAGCGCGCGCAGGCGGCGGUGUUUGGCCCGGCGUGAAAGCCCCGGCUCAACCGGGGAGAGUCGUCGGGGACCGCACCGCUUGAGGGCGGUAGGGGCUGGUGGAAUGCCUGGUGUAGUGGUGAAAUGCGUAGAGAUCAGGCAGAACACCUGGGGCGAAGGCGGCCAGCUGGGCCGUCCCUGACGCUGAGGCGCGAAGGCGUGGGGAGCGAACGGG
rnacentral:rRNA from 1 species